AGACGUCUACAUUAGAUACCCGGGUAGUCCCAGCCGUAAACUAUGCGCGUUAGGUGUAUCGGUGACCACGAGUCACCGAGGUGCCGAAGGGAAACCGUGAAACGUGCCGCCUGGGAAGUACGGUCGCAAGGCUGAAACUUAAAGGAAUUGGCGGGGAGCACCACAACCGGGUGGAGCCUGCGGUUUAAUUGGACUCAACGCCGGGAAGCUCACCGGAUAAGACAGCGGAAUGAUUGCCGGGCUGAAGACUCUGCAUGACUAGCUG
rnacentral:rRNA from 1 species